rnacentral:rRNA from 1 species
UCCAUCCGGUGGCAACACCGGUGAAGAUCUAGCGGCGAACGGGUGAGUAACACGUGAGAAACCUGCCCCGGAGACCGGGAUAACCCGAGGAAACUCGGGCUAAUACCGGAUACCCCCACCGAACCGCAUGAUUUGGUGAGGAAAUGCUCCGACGCUCCGGGAGGGUCUCGCGGCCUAUCAGGUAGUUGGUGAGGUAACGGCUCACCAAGCCGAAGACGGGUAGCUGGUCUGAGAGGACGAUCAGCCACACUGGGACUGAGACACGGCCCAGACUCCUACGGGAGGCAGCAGUGGGGAAUCUUCCACAAUGGGCGAAAGCCUGAUGGAGCAACGCCGCGUGAGCGAUGAAGGUUUUCGGA